rnacentral:rRNA from 1 species
GACGAACGCUGGCGGCGUGCUUAACACAUGUAAGUCGAACGGAAAGGCCCUGCUUUUGUGGGGUGCUCGAGUGGCGAACGGGUGAGUAACACGUGAGUAACCUGCCCUUGACUUUGGGAUAACUUCAGGAAACUGGGGCUAAUACCGGAUAGGAGCUCCUGCUGCAUGGUGGGGGUUGGAAAGUUUCGGCGGUUGGGGAUGGACUCGCGGCUUAUCAGCUUGUUGGUGGGGUAGUGGCUUACCAAGGCCUUGACGGGUAGCCGGCCUGAGAGGGUGACCGGCCACAUUGGGACUGAGAGACGGCCCAGACUCCUACGGGAGGCAGCAGUGGGGAAUAUUGCACAAUGGGCGGAAGCCUGAUGCAGCAACGCCGCGUGCGGAAUGACGGCCUUCGGGUUGUAAACCGCUUUCGCCUGUGACGAAGCGUGAGUGACGGUAAUGGGUAAAGAAGCACCGGCUAACUACGUG